UCCAGUUUAUCACCGGCAGUCUUCCUAGAGUGCCCAGCAUUACCUGAUGGCAACUAAGAAUAAAGGUUGCGCUCGUUGCGGGACUUAACCCAACACUUCACAGCACGAGCUGACGACAGCCAUGCAGCACCUGUGUAAUUGUCCCUUGCGGGAAAAUGUACUUUCAUACACGGUCAACUACAUGUCAAGCCUGGGUAAGGUUCUUCGCGUAGCCUCGAAUUAAACCACAUGCUCCACCGCUUGUGCGGGUCCCCGUCAAUUUCUUUGAGUUUCAGUCUUGCGACCGUACUCCCCAGGUGGUGGAUUUAAUGCGUUAGCGUCGGCGCCGGGGGGAUCGACACCCCCGAUACCUAAUCCACAUCGUUUACGGCAAGGACUAC
rnacentral:misc_RNA from 1 species